rnacentral:rRNA from 1 species
AGAGUUUGAUCCUGGCUCAGGAUGAACGCUGGCGGCGUGCUUAACACAUGCAAGUCGAACGGGAUCCAUCAAGCUUGCUUGGUGGUGAGAGUGGCGAACGGGUGAGUAAUGCGUGACCGACCUGCCCCAUGCUCCGGAAUAGCUCCUGGAAACGGGUGGUAAUGCCGGAUGUUCCACAUGAUCGCAUGUGAUUGUGGGAAAGAUUCUAUCGGCGUGGGAUGGGGUCGCGUCCUAUCAGCUUGUUGGUGAGGUAACGGCUCACCAAGGCUUCGACGGGUAGCCGGCCUGAGAGGGCGACCGGCCACAUUGGGACUGAGAUACGGCCCAGACUCCUACGGGAGGCAGCAGUGGGGAAUAUUGCACAAUGGGCGCAAGCCUGAUGCAGCGACGCCGCGUGAGGGAUGGAGGCCUUCGGGUUGUAAACCUCUUUUGUUUGGGAGCAAGCCUUCGGGUGAGUGUACCUUUCGAAUAAGCGCCGGCUAACUACGUGCCAGCAGCCGCGGU